rnacentral:lncRNA from 1 species
UUGAGCUGCUGUCCUGUAGGUAGGCGCUCACAGCUGCUUCUGCAGUGUUGGGGGAUGAGAAUACCUUUUAUCUCAUUUGGUUACACGAUGCUUUGCAUGUUGCACAGUGAAAGAACGUUGAUGCUUCUGCUGUAAGCAGUGUGCAGAUGCUGGCAUGUUCUCAGGAAGCCAACAGGAAAGGCACCAGGAGGUCAGGUCUUCCUUGGAAUUUUGCCUUGUUCUUUUGCUAUUUUCUUGGUAGAGGACACUUGAACUGUCCUUCCCUUGAAAACAGCCUUCAGGGUUCUUUUUUUCCUUUUGUUAUUUGACUUGGUUUUACUAUGUAGUCCAUGCUGGCCUUUAACUGGUCAUGUAGCUCACACUAGCCUCUAACUCCUCCUCAGUCUCCAGACUCCUCCUCCCAGAUGAGUGUGUACCAACACAAUAGAUUUCACCUUUUCUUUUUAUUCUAAAAAGUUUUAAAAAUUACAGUUACUGUGUAUGUAUGUGUGUACUUGUGUCCGUGCACAAUACAUGCACACAUGCAUGGAAGUGAGAAGACAACUUGUGGGAGUCAGUUUCUUCCUAUACCAUGCAUGUGCUGGGAAUUGAAUGAGGGUAGUCACACUUAGUGCCAAGCAUUUUGCCAUGGAGCCAUCUCACUGGCCUCUGACUUCAGCUUUCUGAUGGUCAUGUUAACUACCACAGCAGGAUUUUCCCAUUUCUUCUUAAGAGAUAAACAGUGGGUACAGCAGUUAACUUUUUGCUUCAGUGGUGAAACUUCAUCUUCAUGCUUUAUGUUCAACUUUCCCUAGUCUAUAAGAUAUACUUCCUUUUAUGAGUGUAAUUUUAGUUUUAGAAUUGUGGUAUACCCAGUUUGUUUUCUUUGGCUUCUUAUAUCAUUUAUCACAACCGCUAGAGGAAGAUAUGAAUUAUAUAGUAAGUACCUAACUCCAUUUAAACCUCGAAUAGGCUCUUAAUAAAGGACUGCUAAAGCUAUGCAGUAACCUAGUGGUUAUAAUCACAACUAUGCAGGAUUAUGGGCUAAGUAUAUGUAGGAUAUAUUAUAGGUAUAAGAAAUAUGCUGGGGCUAGAGAGGUUGCUCAACUGUUAAGGCCAUUGGCUGUUCUUUCAAAGGACCUGGGUUCAAUCCCCAGCAUCCACGUGGUACGUGCAACUAUCUGUUGUUCCAAUUCAGGGGAUCCAAUGCCCUUUUUGGGACUCUGUUGAAACCAGGCACAGAAGUGACAUACAGAUAUACAUGAUGACAUGCAUCCAUACACCUAAAAAAAAUGU